UGGAAGCUGGUUUCACAUGGUGGCUUAGAUUUUCCCUCUUUGUAUCUAGCACCAUUUGAAAUCAGUGUUCU
rfam:Phaethon lepturus contig72971, whole genome shotgun sequence.